GACGUAGGGCGCAAGCGUUGUCCGGAUUUAUUGGGCGUAAAGAGCUCGUAGGCGGCUUGUUGCGUCGACUGUGAAAACCCGCGGCUCAACCGUGUGGUCUGCAGUCGAUACGGGCAGGCUAGAGUUCGGUAGGGGAGACUGGAAUUCCAGGUGUAGCGGUGAAAUGCGUAGAUAUCUGGAGGAAUACCGGUGGCGAAGGCGGCAUCCCGGACCGAGAUUGACACUAAAGCGCGAAAGCCAGGGGAGCAAACGGG
rnacentral:rRNA from 1 species